rnacentral:misc_RNA from 1 species
GAAAUGCGAUAAGUAGUGUGAAUUGCAGAAUUCAGUGAAUCAUCGAAUCUUUGAACGCACAUUGCGCCCUUUGGUAUUCCUUAGGGCAUGCCAGUUCGAGCGUCAUCUAAACCUUCAAGCCCUGCUUGGUGUUGGGUGCCUGUCCCGCCUCCGCGCGCGGACUCACCUCAAAUCCAUUGGCGGCCCCCGCGUCGGCCACGAGCGCAGCAGAAACGCGAACUCGUGAGCCCGUCCUGGCGGCUCCCAGAAGCUACACCCACCCAGUUUGACCUCGGAUCAGGUAGGGAUACCCGCUGAACUUAAGC